rnacentral:rRNA from 1 species
UACGUAGGGUGCAAGCGUUGUCCGGAAUCAUUGGGCGUAAAGCGCGCGUAGGCGGCCUUGUAAGUCCGUUGUGAAAGUCAAAGGCUCAACCUUUGAAAGCCGAUGGAUACUGCAAGGCUAGAGUCCGGAAGAGGCGAGUGGAAUUCCUGGUGUAGCGGUGGAAUGCGCAGAUAUCAGGAGGAACACCAAUAGCGAAGGCAGCUCGCUGGGACAGUACUGACGCUAAGGCGCGAAAGCGUGGGGAGCGAACAGG